UACGAAGGGGGCUAGCGUUGCUCGGAAUCACUGGGCGUAAAGGGUGCGUAGGCGGGUCUUUAAGUCAGGGGUGAAAUCCUGGAGCUCAACUCCAGAACUGCCUUUGAUACUGAGGAUCUUGAGUAUGGGAGAGGUGAGUGGAACUGCGAGUGUAGAGGUGAAAUUCGUAGAUAUUCGGAAGAACACCAGUGGCGAAGGCGGCUCACUGGCCCGGUACUGACGCUGAGGUGCGAAAGCGUGGGGAGCAAACAGG
rnacentral:rRNA from 1 species